rnacentral:rRNA from 1 species
GACAGAGGAUGCAAGCGUUAUCCGGAAUGAUUGGGCGUAAAGCGUCUGUAGGUGGCUUUUUAAGUCCGCCGUCAAAUCCCAGGGCUCAACCCCUGGACAGGCGGUGGAAACUACCAAGCUGGAGUACGGGUAGGGGCAGAGGGAAUUUCCGGGUGGAGCGGUGAAAUGCGCAGAUAUCAGGAAGAACACCCGUGGCGAAGGCGGCUUCUGGGACGGUACUGACGCUGAGACGUGAAAGCGUGGGGAGCGAACAGG